rnacentral:misc_RNA from 1 species
GGGGGAAAAAAAAAAAAAGAAAAAGAACGCACCGAGAGGAGGUGCGUGCGAGAUCUACCUGAAAUGCUCUGGUUCCUCACUCUUCCGGGAAUGCUUCAGAUCUUUUUCCUCAACCCUAUUGUCUCCAUUUCUAGAUCUCUAAAACCAGCGCUCUAACUACUACAAGACUAAUUCGGAGUAGAAAAUAAUAUUUACUUGUAGUUUUGACAAAUAGAGCAGAGAAGAUGUAUAUGUCAUAUGGAUGGCCUCAGGUGAUCCCUCUGGAUUCAGGACUCCGUCCUUCUUCACAGAAGAUUAUCUACCUCAAAGUCAUCAACCGCCUCUUGCUUGUCGUCGCCCCUUCUCACCUCGAGCUGUGGAGCUCCUCUCAGCAUAAAGUGAGGUUGGGCAAUUACAAGAGGGAUUUGGAGUCUGUGGAGAAAGAGGGCGAGAAUUUACAGGCUGUGUGGAGUCCCGAUGCCAAAUUGAUCGCCAUUCUCGUAAGUAGUUUCCAUUGGUUUGAUUUCUUCAUUUGGAGAGUGCAUAUGAUGAUUUAUUCCGAAUUUUUUUGAUACUUUUAGGACGAGAUAUUCUGUUUACAGUUAUUAAUUGUUUAGAAUGCGCAUAUGCAUUCAGAUAAUUUCGUCAAUCUGUUGCAUGCUUCGUCAUUGUUCAAAAUGAAUUUGAACUGUAUUUUAGUAUCAGAGUGUCGAGUGUGAUAGGAUGAAAUUGUGUGCCUCUUCUCCCAGUGCUUCAGUGAUUUGAGGUUGGAAAUGUGCUGAGCUUCACUAAAUAACAUACUUGAAACCAAGUCUUGCUGCUGCUAGCUGAAGCAUGCUUUUUAUUUCGUUAUUGCAACUUUUUUUUGCCUGAGAAAUGCAUGAAAAGUGAUCUCUGAUAAUGCUUACGUGGUUUCUUAUUUCUUGCUUUGAUUUUCCUUACGUUGGAUUUCGUCUGAAAGUAUAGUUCAAUGUAUCACAUUGUUGCCCAUAUAUUUUCCCCCUUUUUCUUGGUACUUUUUGCAGACAUCGUCCUUCUUUCUUCACAUAUUCAAGAUUCAAUUCACUGAAAAAAGAAUACAAAUUGGAGGGAAGCAACCAUCUGGUUUGUUUCUUGCUAACAUAUCUCUUCUUCUCAGCGAGCAAGUACCUUUUGCAGAAAAGAACUUGACAGUGAGCAAUAUUGUGAGUGAUAGCAAACAUAUGCUUCUGGGACUUUCCAAUGGAUCCUUGUACAGUAUCUCUUGGAAGGGAGAGUUUAUUGGGGCUUUUGAACUUGAUCCAUAUCUACAUGAGAGCAGUGAAGUCUCUAUGUUACCACGCUCUCUAGUUAAUGGCCUUGGUUCUGGAGGGGCCCCAGGGGUCGUUUUACCCAAUUGUUAUGACACAAGGAAGCCUGCCAUUACACAGCUGGAGCUUUGCUUGCCAAUAAGGUUGCUAUUUGUUUUAUAUUCUGAGGGCCAACUAGUAUCAUGCUCUGUAAGCAAGAAAGGUUUAAAGCAAGCUGAAUCUAUCAGAGCUGAAAAGAAGUUGGGUUCUGGUGACGCUGUAUGUGCUUCAGUAGCUUCAGAUCAACAAAUCCUGGCUGUUGGUACUAGAACUGGAGUUGUUGAGUUGUAUGACCUAGCAGAAUCUGUAUCACUCAUCCGUACUGUGUCUUUAUAUGACUGGGGAUAUUCAAUGGAUGACACUGGUUCUGUCAGUUGUAUUGCCUGGACACCUGAUAAUUCUGCUUUUGCUGUUGGGUGGAAGUUAAGAGGACUUACAGUUUGGUCCGUCUCUGGCUGUCGUUUAAUGUCAACAAUCCGUCAAGUUGGUUUAAGUUCUGUUUCUUCACCAAUGGUUAAGCCAAACCAAGAUUGUAAAUAUGAGCCAUUGAUGGGUGGCACCUCACUGAUGCAGUGGGAUGAAUAUGGAUAUAAGCUUUAUGCAAUUGAGGAAGGAUCUUUGGAGAGAAUUAUAGCAUUUUCUUUUGGGAAAUGCUGUCUUAGCAGAGGAGUUUCUGGCAUGACUUAUGUCCGUCAGGUGAUUUAUGGUGAAGAUCGGUUGCUUGUUGUACAGUCUGAAGAUACUGAUGAACUUAAAAUUUUACAUCUGAAUCUUCCAGUUUCUUACAUCUCCCAAAAUUGGCCCGUUCAACAUGUGGCAGCUAGCAAGGAUGGGAUGUACUUAGCAGUUGCUGGUCUUCAUGGGUUGAUCUUAUAUGAUAUGCGGUUGAAAAAGUGGCGAGUUUUUGGAGAUAUUACUCAGGAACAAAAGAUUCAGUGUAAAGGUUUGCUAUGGCUGGGGAAGAUUGUUGUUGUCUGCAACUACGUUCAUUCUUCUAACACCUAUGAACUGCUUUUUUAUCCAAGAUAUCAUCUUGACCAGAGUUCCUUGCUUUGUCGGAAGCCAUUACUUGCCAAGCCAAUGGUGAUGGAUGUCUAUCAAGACCAUAUACUUGUUACUUAUCGCCCAUUUGAUGUCCAUAUAUUCCAUGUGAAAUUAUUUGGUGAACUGACACCUCAUAGUACUCCAGACCUGCAGCUUUCUACAGUACGGGAACUCUCAAUCAUGACUGCAAAGAGUCAUCCUGCUGCGAUGCGUUUUAUCCCUGAUCAGGUUCCAAGAGAAAGUACCUUAAAGAAUCAUAUUUCUCCAUCUUCAGAUUUAUUAGUGAGAGAGCCUGCAAGAUGUUUGAUACUGAGGACAAAUGGGGAGCUUUCGCUUUUGGAUUUGGAUGAUGGACGCGAAAGAGAGCUCACUGACUCUGUUGAAUUGUUCUGGGUUACUUGUGGUCAAUCUGAUGAAAAGACUAAUCUAAUUGAGGAAGUUUCUUGGUUGGAUUAUGGCCACCGAGGGAUGCAGGUUUGGUAUCCAUCUCCGGGUGUUGAUCCUUUUAAGCAGGAGGAUUUUCUGCAGUUGGACCCAGAGCUGGAAUUUGAUCGGGAAGUGUAUCCUCUGGGACUUCUUCCAAAUGCUGGUGUCGUAGUUGGUGUCUCCCAGAGAAUGUCAUUUUCAACAUGCACUGAGUUUCCGUGUUUUGAGCCAUCUCCUCAAGCUCAAACUAUAUUGCAUUGCCUGCUCAGGCACCUUCUUCAGAGGGACAAAAUUGAGGAGGCUUUAAGGUUGGCACAGUUAUCAGCACAAAAACCUCAUUUUUCCCAUUGUCUGGAAUGGCUUCUUUUUACUGUAUUUGAUGCAGAAAUUUCCAGGAAGAAUGCAAACAAGAACCAAAAAUCAGUCCCUAAACCCACUGGCAACUUCUCUCUUUUGGAGAAGACCUGUGAUUUGAUUAGAAAUUUUCCAGAGUAUCUUGAUGUAGUUGUGAGUGUUGCAAGAAAAACUGACGGCCGACACUGGGCAGAUUUAUUCUCAGCUGCUGGAAGAUCAACAGAGUUGUUUGAGGAAUGCUUCCAACGAAGAUGGUACCGUACUGCAGCUUGCUAUAUACUGGUAAGAGUUAUGAGUUUCUCAAUAUCUUUAUUAAUACAUUGAGCUCUUGGUUGUUAGAAGGGUAUUGUUACUUGUGUGUGAGAUUGUUCUGCACCUGUUUUUAUAAUUAUUUUUGUUUAUAUUACUCAAUCUUGUUUCUGGGUUAUUUAGUUGUGCAAUUUAAUAGUAAUGCCCUUGACUUUAACUUGUACCUCUAGAGUAUUUAUAGCUUUAAAGCUAUUUUGUGAUACAUUUUAUAGGUUAUGCAUAUGUGUGAGGUGGGAGGGUACAAUAUCAUUUAAAAAGAAACACCUUAUGUGUUCUUGCAAGGUUACGAAUAAAAUGCAAGAACUGUAUUCCUCUUCUUAUGCAUUACAAAUACGUAAUGAAAAUGUGUGGUGGAUAAAACUAUAUUGGAGUCACUUGCUCCUUUUUUGAAUUUUACAGGUUAUUGCUAAACUUGAAGGUCCUGCUGUCAGUCAAUACUGUGCUUUACGUUUACUACAGGUAGACAAUUGCAACGCUGGAUGAAUCUUUGUAUGAACUUGCUGGGGAGCUGGUAUUGGGCCAUGAUUGUGGUGCUUGAACAAAUCAAAUCUGAAUCUAUUGCAAGAUGAUAUAUAUUUUUUUCCUUCUUUUCUUGUGGUUCCUAGGUGCGUUUCUUGUUGAGAUCUGGAAAAGAGUAUGGGCAGACAUCAACAGAUUCUGACAGGCUGUCUCCGAGGAUUUUGGGUUAUUUUCUCUUCCGUUCUAGUUACAGGAAGACACCCUUGGAUAAGAGCACCUCAUUUAAAGAGCAAAGUGCCCAUGUUGCUUCUGUGAAGAGCAUUUUAGAAAGCCAUGCCAGCUAUUUGAUGUCAGGGAAAGAACUUUCCAAGCUUGUUGCCUUUGUAAAAGGCACUCAGUUUGAUUUAGUGGAAUAUCUUCAACGAGAAAGAUAUGGUUCUGCUCGCUUGGAGAAUUUUGCAUCGGGGCUGGAACUAAUCGGGCAGAAGGUAUGAACAUCACAUUCUUCAGUAUUUGAUAUUCUUUCCUUAUAGUUUUAAGCUACAUGGUGACAGCUUAGCAUAAUUCCUUUUUAUCUCUUAUUUUUCUCUGAGAAAGAAACAGGCAUCACUUGUUUUAGCUCUCCUUUUUUUUGUUUGUGUGAGUGUGUUUGUGACAGAGAGAGAACACUUGAUGUGAUGAAGUGAACAUUGUUUGUUACCAACUUGAAAAAUUCUCCAAAUGGGUACACUGCAGAGUCGAUUGGAUGCUGAGUUUCUUUUGGCUCAUAUGUGCUCUGUCAAGUUCAAGGAGUGGAUAGUUGUCCUAGCCACUCUCUUAAGACGAUCUGAGGUUCUUUUCGAUCUUUUCCAGCAUGACGUGCGGCUGUGGAAGGCAUAUAGCAUGACCCUUCAGUCUCACCCUGCAUUUGUUGAAUACCAAGAUCUACUUGAAUCCCUGGAGGAGAGGCUGACAUCUGAUUUGAAUUUGGAAGAGAAGUGAGGGCACGUUUGGCCAGCCAUCGGACAUAAUUUGGCAAAGUAUUAGACCAAUGAAAGCGAUUCUUCUGAAGAUAGAGAUAUGAUUUGCGGGCACUGCAUCCCAGGCAAAUCAUAUUCCAGGGUCUGAGCUUUUGUUGCUCCACAGCGUAAAAAAUCAGCAACCGGGAAAACUGUCGGUGUGACAUAGAAAGUCAUUCUUGUAGAUAACGUGGUUGAACUUCUACGACAGUUCUUUUUUCAUAUGUGUUAGUUAUUUUUUGUAUUAUUAUUUGUUCUAUAUUUUUCAUCUGUGUAUAACUCUCUUUUUUUUCCCUCAACUUUUUUUGUUGUAUAAAAAUUCAUGAAGCGAUUUGUAAUGAAAUUAGUUCAUUUUAAUUGAAUCAACUCUAACAUUUGGAUAUCUAUGGUUGAGUUAAUUUUCCAGGUUGUACGCUCUUACCAUAAUUUCAUCAGAGUCUUGACAGG